UGGGGAAUAUUGCGCAAUGGGCGAAAGCCUGACGCAGCAACGCCGCGUGAGUGAUGAAGGCCUUCGGGUCGUAAAGCUCUGUCGGAGGGAACGAAUGCUCUUGGAGUUAACAGCUUCAGGAGGUGACGGUACCCUCAAAGGAAGCACCGGCUAACUCUGUGCCAGCAGCCGCGGUAAUACAGAGGGUGCAAGCGUUGUUCGGAAUCAUUGGGCGUAAAGGGCGCGUAGGCGGCAAUUCAAGUCAUCUGUGAAAUCUCCGGGCUUAACUCGGAACGGUCAGAUGAUACUGCUUUGCUAGAGUGCAGAAGGGGCAAUCGGAAUUCUUGGUGUAGCGGUGAAAUGCGUAGAUAUCAAGAGGAACACCUGAGGUGAAGACGGGUUGCUGGGCUGACACUGACGCUGAGGCGCGAAAGCCAGGGGAGCAAACGGGAUUAGAUACCCAAGUAGUCCCUGAGCGGGCUGGCAAGGCG
rnacentral:rRNA from 1 species